rnacentral:rRNA from 1 species
UGGGGGAUAUUGCACAAUGGGCGAAAGCCUGAUGCAGCGACGCCGCGUGGGGGAUGAAGGCCUUCGGGUUGUAAACUUCUUUUGCUCUGAACAAGGCAUGCUAAUGGGUGUGUUGAGUGUAGGGGUUGAUUAGCGCCGGCUAACUACGUGCCAGCAGCCGCGGUAAUACGUAGGGCGCGAGCGUUGUCCGGAAUUAUUGGGCGUAAAGUGCUUGUAGGUGGCUGGUUGCGUCUGUCGUGAAAGCUCAUGGCUUAACUGUGGGUUUGCGGUGGGUACGGGCUGGCUUGAGUGCAGUAGGGGAGGCUGGAAUUCCUGGUGUAGCGGUGGAAUGCGCAGAUAUCAGGAGGAAUACCGGUGGCGAAGGCGGGUCUCUGGGCUGUUACUGACACUGAGAAGCGAAAGCAUGGGGAGCGAACAGG